rnacentral:rRNA from 1 species
GAUGAACGCUGACAGAAUGCUUAACACAUGCAAGUCAACUGUGGCGGACGGGUGAGUAACGCGUAAAGAACUUGCCUCACGGAUAGGGACAACAUUUGGAAACGAAUGCUAAUACCUGAUACUGUGAGAGAGCUUGGCGUCCCAUUCGCUAGUUGGAGAGGUAACGGCUCACCAAGGCGAUGAUGGGUAGCCGGCCUGAGAGGGUGAUCGGCCACAAGGUGACUGGGACACGGCCCUUAAUCCUACGGGAGGCAGCAGUGGAGAAUAUUGGACAAUUGACCAAAGUCUGAGCCAGAAAUUCUGUGUGCACGAUGAAGUUUUCGGAAUGUAAAGUGCUUGCAGUUGGGAAGCGGUACCAACAGAAGAAGUGACGGCUAAAUACGUGCCAGCAGCCGCGGUAAUAC